rnacentral:snoRNA from 1 species
AUUUGGUGGUGUGGGCAGCUUGCACAUAAAUUCUUGAAUCUUUCCCAGUACUCACACAAGCUUUCACCAUCGAGUUGCCUGAUUCCGGAUACAUCCUUUCUUAUGGU